AGCAGGCCGGGGCUUGCGGCAGGGCAGGGCCGGGGCCGCUUGCGGAGGCACGUCCUGGCGGGGCCGGGGGGCCUGCGGACGGCGCGCCGGAGAAGGAGCGACCUUUCACCAGCGGCGGCGGCUCGGGUCGUGCAAGGGCUGUCAACAGGAGCUGCAGAGCUCUGAGCCAAGCCAGAUCGGAAGAUGGCUGAGAACCUGGUGCCUGGGGACCUGUUCUCGAGGAAGACCCGGGAAUCAGUGUCAUCCCUGGACCUGGACAAGCUGGCACCCAUCUCACCUGAGGCUGGCGGUGAGGAGUCAUCCGACAGUGAGGGCGAGCAGGAGGACAGUUCUCACAAGCUCAUCCGGAAGGUUUCCACCUCGGGACAGAUGAGAAGCAAGAAGAGCGUAAAGGAGGGGCUGUUGCUGAAGCAGACGAGCUCCUUCCAGAGGUGGAAGAGACGAUACUUCAAGCUGCGAGGCAGGACACUUUAUUAUGCUAAGGAUGCCAAGUCCCUGAUCUUUGAUGAGGUGGACCUGUCUGAUGCCAGUGUGGCCGAGACCAGCACCAAGAACAUCAACAACAGUUUCACGGUGAUCACGCCGUUCAGGAAGCUCAUUUUAUGUGCGGAGAACCGGAAGGAGAUGGAGGACUGGAUCACGGCCCUGAAAUCUGUCCAGAAGUGGGAGAUCCAUGAGGCCACACAGUUCAACAUGGAGCACUUCUCGGGCAUGCACAACUGGUAUGCCUGCUCCCAUGCCCGCCCCACCUUCUGCAACGUGUGCCGCGAAGCUCUUCCAGGGGUCACCUCCCACGGCCUUUCCUGUGAAGUCUGCAAGUUCAAGGCACACAAGCGCUGUGCCGUCAGAGCCACAAACAACUGCAAGUGGACGACUCUGGCCUCCAUCGGCAUUGAAAUCAUCGAGGAUGAGGAUGGGGUGGCCAUGCCCCAUCAGUGGCUGGAGGGGAACUUGCCUGUCAGUGCACGCUGUGCUGUCUGCGACCGGACCUGUGGCAGUGUCCGGAGGCUGCAGGACUGGCGGUGUCUCUGGUGCAAGGCCAUUGUUCACAGUGCCUGCAAGGAGCUCCUUGGCAAGAGGUGCCCCCUGGGCCAGUACAAAGUGUCCAUCAUCCCGCCAACUGCCUUGAACAGCAUCGAUUCUGAUGGUUUCUGGAAAGCCACCUGCCCCUCGACCUGCUCCAGCCCUCUCCUGGCCUUUGUCAACUCCAAGAGUGGGGACAACCAGGGUGUCAAGUUUCUGCGCAAGUUCAAGCAGUUCCUCAACCCAGCCCAAGUCUUUGACCUCAUGAAUGGGGGCCCACACCUGGGGCUGCGCCUCUUCCAGAAGUUCUCCACCUUCAGAAUCCUGGUGUGUGGUGGGGAUGGCAGCGUGGGUUGGGUGCUCUCUGAGAUCGAUGCCCUUGGCCUCCACAAGCAGUGUCAGCUGGGUGUCCUGCCGCUGGGGACUGGUAAUGACCUUGCACGGGUCCUGGGUUGGGGCAGCCUAUGUGACGAUGACACUCAGCUGCUGCAGGUCCUGGAGAAGCUGGAAAGGGCCACCACCAAGAUGCUAGACCGGUGGAGUGUGCUUACCUAUGAGGCCCCCAAGCAGUCCCCCUCAGCACUGAAGGAGGAGGAAAAUGGGGACUCCAACGUCCAGGUCCAGAUCUCCCAUUACGCAGACUCUGUUGCCUUCCACCUGGCCAAGAUCCUGGAGUCAGACAAGCACUCAGUGGUGAUCUCCUCUGCAAAGUUCCUCUGUGGCACUGUCAAUGACUUUGUGACUGAAGUUGGGCGGGCUUACAAGAGGGCGACAGAGAACAAGCAGGAGGCUGAGCUGAUGGCACGGAAGUGCGCCAUGCUGAAUGAAAAGCUGGACUCGUUGGUGCGGGAGCUGAAUGAGGAAGCUCAGGCCAUCAUGGUCCCUGAAGAAAUGGCACAGGCCACCCACGCUGAUGUCAAGGGCCAGGAGAAAGCUGGCAGCUUCAACCCCAGCCCCCAGCCUCGCAUCUUCAAAUCCAAGGAGCAGCUCAUGCUACGGGCAAACAGCCUGAAGAAAGCCCUGCGGCAAAUCAUUGAGCAGACAGAGAAAGCUGUGGAUGAGCAGAACAAGCAGACCCAAGCCUACCAGGGCAGUGUGGGCCCCAGCAAGGACAGCUCGGAGGAGUUCAACAAGGAGGAGGAGAAGCUCAGCUCCCGGCGGGUGAUGGUGACCUCUGCGUCUUCCUCCAUCAUCCUGGACCGGCCAGACACCUUUGGCAGCUUGCAGUUCCCUGAAGACUCCAGCACCCUACACUUCUUGGAGAAAUGUGUCAUGAAUAACUACUUUGGCAUUGGCCUGGAUGCAAAGAUCUCCCUGGAGUUCAACAACAAACGCGAUGAGCACCCCAAGAAGUGCAGGUUGGCUGGAACCCCUAGAUUUCCCCCAGGAAAAAACAUGUACCCCUGGCUUUCCAAUGCCAUCAAGUUGCUGGGAGCCAUGGGGGUGACUCAUGCCUACUGUGCUGGAGAUCCUUCCUACAGCAGAUUUUGUACCUGCACCCAUUGCUGGGAUGAGCACCCCUUGGUGGCAGGCUGCAAACACCCCAGAAAGGGUGAAGACCUGAGGACUCGGUGGGAUUUACUUGCUCUGCAGCUGGAGAGAGGGACAUUGCCAUGCUGGUGUGGAAGGGUCGAAAUCAGCCGCACCAAGAACAUGAUGUGGUAUGGGGUGCUGGGCACGAAGGAGCUCCUGCAGCGCACCUACAAGAACCUGGAGCAGCGGGUACAGCUGGAGUGUGAUGGGGUGCCUAUCUCACUGCCCAGCCUGCAGGGCAUUGCUGUCCUCAACAUCCCCAGCUAUGCUGGGGGCAUCAACUUCUGGGGAGGCACCAAGGAGGACAAUAACUUUGGGGCUCCAUCCUUUGAUGACAAGAAGCUGGAGGUGGUGGCAGUCUUUGGCAGCAUCCAGAUGGCUGUGUCACGGGUCAUCAACCUCCAGCACCAUCGCAUUGCACAGUGCCGCGUGGUGAAGAUCACCAUCCGGGGCGAUGAGGGUGUACCUGUGCAGGUGGAUGGAGAGGCCUGGAUCCAGCCACCUGGCAUCAUCAAAAUCCAGCACAAGAACAGAGCCCAGAUGCUGACAAGGGACCGGGCAUUUGAAAGCACCCUCAAGUCUUGGGAGGACAAGCAGAAAGGGGAGAGCUACCGAGCGGCCACACGGCCACGGCUCAGCUCCCAGCAGUCCAUGGAGUACCUGACCGAGGAGGAGAGCAGCCUCUUGCAGCAGGUCUCGCGUGUCGCUGAGACCCUCAUUGCCAGGAUCCAUGAGGCAGCCAAGGCUCACAAAGCCAUGGAGCAGGAGCUGGCGCACGCAGUCAAUGCCAGCUCCCUGGCACUGAGUGAAGCCCUCUCCCACAAAGCUGCUGGCGCCUCAGAGUUUCUCAGCAGGAAUAUGGCUGUGGAGAUGGUGCUGAGCAUCAAAGAGCUGUGGGCUGAGACCAGGGCAUUCCUGGACGGGAAGGCGGUGAGUGAGGGACUGGAGAGCACCCAAAGCCUCUCAAGGCUGCUACCUCUAGGGGUGGCAGCAGGGUUGGGUAUGGGCCCUGUCCCCCACAGCUGGACUCGCCUCAGGAGGAGGAGGCGCUUCAGGGCCCUCUGAGUGUGCUGGGCCAGGAGCUGCAGCGGCUGCUGGACAUCCACUGGCUGGGCCCUGUUGCCCACCCUGCUGAGGAGGAAGGUGCCAGCAAGGGAAGCUUUAAGCUUCGCCUCAACAUCCCCAAGCCCAGGAAGGAGAAGGACAAGCUACAGAAGCAGAAAGCCAACAGUGCACUCCCAGACAAGUGGGGCUCCGAGGAGGUGGCAGCUUGGCUGGAAACACUUGGUUUAGGGGAAUACAGAGACAUUUUUGUUCGGCAUGACAUCCAGGGCUCAGAGUUGAUUCUGCUGGAGAGGAGAGACCUUAAGGACCUGGGGAUCACCAAAGUGGGCCAUAUGAAGAGGAUCCUUCAGGCCAUUAAGGAACUCAGCAACCUGCCCUAGGCUGACAGCAGGGCAGCAGCCCAGUCCAGGUGCUGGGUGGGUGCUGCCCCCAGGGAACAGGGGUUGGGUAGGGGAACAGGUCCCUGCCCUUGACCCAUAUGUAUGGAGCCCCCCCUGCUUGCCUCGCUUUAACUGUCUGUCCCGAGUGACCCUGGAGCCAACUGCUUCUCCCCCAGCCUAUGGGGCUGGAGACACUGAAGCAGAGGUCUACCCCGAUAGGUGUGUGGUCUGACCACCAAUUCUGCCCCAUCAGGGUCAGGUGGUCACCUGCGGCCACCCUCUGUGUGCUCAAGCUGGAGCCAAAGCAAAGUUUCCCCUUCCUGAUGUGGGUAUUUAUGCUGUGUAAAUAAUUGGAGAGAAGAUACUCAUUG